rnacentral:lncRNA from 1 species
GGACCAUCGGCAGACUGGCAAAUCUUUCCACAAGGAAGUAGAAGGAACUAUUUUUAUUGAAUUCUAGAACAUUAGAUCCUGAGAGAACUUAUAGAUUUUAUAAACCACACCCCUUCCCCAACAUUUUACAAAUGAAGAAACUGAGGCCCAGAGAACCUAACGUGAUGUCACACGGCUGAUUAAUUAAUGGCCAGGGAAAAACUGGAAAUGUAAUUCUCUUUUCCGCUUUUUAGCAACAACUUUGUUAAUGGCACUUAUUCUAUAUUUGUCCCCAAACUAUUACUCUAGGUGGACCAGGGAAGUUUGUUCAGUUGCUCUGAAAUUGAAAACGCAGGUUGUGUAAUAUUUCCAAAACCCCAGUAAGAGGAUGUCAGAGGGAGGACCACGAGCUGCGGAUUGUCUGUGCCUGACCUAGGAGCCCCGGCCCGCACAGGUAAGGAGAGUAAGCUUUCAUUGGAUCCCAAGUAGUCUUCCUUGGGUGAUAACUUUGUCUUUCUAUCAUGUAACCAGUAGCUGCCAAAUUGUGUGUGUGCGUGUUUAGGGAGAAGAACCAAGGCAUGUCUCUGAUGUUGUCACAGCCCAGUGUCACCCAAAAGUCACUGUGCUCCCAUCAUCCCCAGUUCCCAGUUGAGUGGGUCCCAGCUACAUUUCCCAUGGACAUCCGUCGGGCCCAUGUGAAGAGCUAUUUCAGAGACAGAGUGUUCUAAAUCAGGAAGGCAAGUGGGCCCAUGAGAGGAGGCCACCUAAGUGGGGUGGUCCAGUAGGAGUUGAUGCCUCUCUAAAGAGGGUAUCUGAGUAGGGCAGUGGCCUGGCAGAAGAUUGAACAAAUAACCAGAUAUAUUGAGGGUAACAGGAGCCGUGUUUUCCCAUUGUCAGAGAAGGGAGGUGUACGUUUGUGAAGGGGAAAAACUAGAACAAACCCUGUGGUGUUGGAUUGGAAUGGCAGGAUUGUUGUAUCAUUCUUACAAAUUUUCUGUAAGUGUAAAAUUGUUUUGAAAGAAAAGAAAAAUGUACAGCUAUCAGGACACUACAUAGCCAUAAAAAAUAAUGUUGUUGUUAAAAAAGGACAAAGUUGUCCCAUUCACAACAACAUGGAUGGCCCUUGAGGGUAUUAUGUUGAGUGAAAUAAGCCAGACAGAGAAAGACGAACUCUGUAUGACUCCAUUCAUAGGUGGUAGUUAACAUAUGGACAAAGAGAACUGAUCGG